rnacentral:rRNA from 1 species
CCUACGGGAGGCAGCAGUGAGGAAUAUUGGUCAAUGGACGAGAGUCUGAACCAGCCAAGUAGCGUGAAGGAUGACUGCCCUAUGGGUUGUAAACUUCUUUUAUAAAGGAAUAAAACGAGGCACGUGUGCCUUUUUGCAUGUACUUUAUGAAUAAGGAUCGGCUAACUCCGUGCCAGCCGCCGCGGUAAUACUGAGGAUCCGAGCGUUAUCCGGAUUUAUUGGGUUUAAAGGGAGCGUAGAUGGGUUGUUAAGUCAGUUGUGAAAGUUUGCGGCUCAACCGUAAAAUUGCAAUUGAUACUGGCAGUCUUGAGUACAGUUGAGGUAGGCGGAAUGCGUGGUGUAGCGGUGAAAUGCUUAGAUAUCACGAAGAACCCCGAUUGCGAAGGCAGCUUACUAAACUGUGACUGACAUUGAUGCUCGAAAGUGUGGGUAUCAAACAGGAUUAGAUACCCCGGUAGUC